rnacentral:pre_miRNA from 1 species
CGCUUUUCGAAUCCGUGCUGAGAUUUCUUCGGACACCAACCCAUUAGGGCUGAUCAGACUCCCAAGAAUAGUGAAGUU